rnacentral:rRNA from 1 species
CUACGGAGGGUGCAAGCGUUACUCGGAAUCACUGGGCGUAAAGGACGCGUAGGCGGGUUGGUAAGUCAGGUGUGAAAUCCUACAGCUUAACUGUAGAACUGCACUUGAAACUACCAACCUAGAGUAUGGGAGGGGGAGAUGGAAUUAGUGGUGUAGGGGUAAAAUCCGUAGAUAUCACUAGGAAUACCGAAAGCGAAGGCGAUCUCCUGGAACAUAACUGACGCUAAGGCGUGAAAGCGUGGGGAGCAAACAGGAUUAGAAACCCCAGUAGUCC